rnacentral:tRNA from 1 species
GCCUUCUUAGCUCAGUGGUAGAGCGUUGCACUUGUAUGAGCUUUCUGGAGCUUCAGCAUUUAUGCAAAGGUCAGUCGUUCAAUCCGGCUAGGAGGCA